rnacentral:tRNA from 2 species
GAUUGGUUAGCUCAGUUGGUAGAGCAACGCCCUUUUAAGGCGUGGGUCCUGGGUUCGAGCCCCAGACCAAUCACUA